rnacentral:misc_RNA from 1 species
GAAAUGCGAUACGUAAUGUGAAUUGCAGGAUUCAGCGAAUCAUCAAAUUCUUGAACGCAAAUGGCGCUCCGCGGCUCGUCCGUGGAGCAUGUCUGUUUGAGUGUCAGUAACAUCCUCACAACCUCUCCCAUGAGGGGGGAAGUGGAUUGAUGACGGUUGGCGGUUCCUCAGCGAUGCCAUCCGUUGAAGCGCAGAGGGGUCCCGGCUUCAAUAUAGCCGCGACGUGGUGAAGUAAGAAAUCUCACGAUUUUACACUGCACCGCUCGCGCCGAAGCACGGCGUCCCCUUAGACAAGGGAAGCGCGGCCCUCGUGGCUGAGCCUCUACCUACAACAAUGACCUCAAAUCAGGCAAGACUACCCGCCGAAUUUAA